rnacentral:rRNA from 1 species
AGCGAACGUUAGCGGCGGGCCUAACACAUGCAAGUCGAACGCGAAAGGUCUUCGGACUGAGUAGAGUGGCGCACGGGUGAGUAACACGUAGGUAAUCUACCCUUUGGCGGGGAUAACGUUCCGAAAGGAGCGCUAAUACCGCAUAAGACCACGGAGUCUCCGGACGCUGUGGGAAAAGGUGGCCUCUUCUUGGAAGCUACCACCGAAGGAUGAGCCUGCGUCCCAUCAGCUAGUUGGUAAGGUAAUGGCUUACCAAGGCGAAGACGGGUAGCUGGUUUGAGAGAAUGAUCAGCCACACUGGCACUGGAACACGGGCCAGACUCCUACGGGAGGCAGCAGUGAGGAAUAUUGGGCAAUGGGCGAAAGCCUGACCCAGCCACGCCGCGUGAGUGAUGAAGGCCCUCGGGUCGUAAAGCUCUGUGGAGAGGGACGAAAACCCUGGUUUCAAAUAGGCUCCAGGCUUGACGGUACCUCUUUAGCAAGCACCGGCUAACUCUGUGCCAGCAGCCGCGG